UGAACGCUAGCGACAGGCCUAACACAUGCAAGUCAGGGGCAGCACAAGGAGCAAUCUGAGGUGGCGACCGGCGCACGGGUGAGUAACACGUAUGCAACCUGCCUGUAAGCGGGGAAUAACCCGUUGAAAGACGGACUAAUACCGCAUAAUACUAAAUUACUGCAUGGUAAUUUAUUUAAACAUUUAUGGCUUACAGAUGGGCAUGCGCAUGAUUAGCUAGUUGGAGAGGUAACGGCUCCCCAAGGCAACGAUCAUUAGGGGUUCUGAGAGGAAGGUCCCCCACACUGGUACUGAGACACGGACCAGACUCCUACGGGAGGCAGCAGUGAGGAAUAUUGGUCAAUGGACGAGAGUCUGAACCAGCCAAGUCGCGUGCAGGAAGAAUGUCCUAUGGAUUGUAAACUGCUUUUGCAGGGGAAUAAAGUGCAUCACGUGUGAUGUUUUGUAUGUACUCUGCGAAUAAGGAUCGGCUAACUCCGUGCCAGCAGCAGC
rnacentral:rRNA from 1 species